GACAGAGGGUGCAAACGUUGUUCGGAAUUACUGGGCGUAAAGCGAGUGUAGGCGGUUUGGUAAGUCGGAUGUGAAAGCCCCGGGCUCAACCCGGGAAGUGCACUCGAUACUGCCAAGCUAGAGUAUCGGAGAGGUUGGUGGAAUUCUCGGUGUAGAGGUGAAAUGCGCAGAUAUCGGGAAGAACACCUAUGGCGAAGGCAGCUCGCUGGGACGUGACUGACGCUGAGACGCGAAAGCGUGGGGAGCAAACAGG
rnacentral:rRNA from 1 species